CCACAUUGGGACUGAGAUACGGCCCAGACUCCUACGGGAGGCAGCAGUGGGGAAUAUUGCACAAUGGGCGCAAGCCUGAUGCAGCGACGCCGCGUGCGGGAUGACGGCCUUCGGGUUGUAAACCGCUUUUGACUGGGAGCAAGCCCUUCGGGGUGAGUGUACCUUUCGAAUAAGCACCGGCUAACUACGUGCCAGCAGCCGCGGUAAUACGUAGGGUGCAAGCGUUAUCCGGAAUUAUUGGGCGUAAAGGGCUCGUAGGCGGUUCGUCGCGUCCGGUGUGAAAGUCCAUCGCUUAACGGUGGAUCCGCGCCGGGUACGGGCGGGCUUGAGUGCGGUAGGGGAGACUGGAAUUCCCGGUGUAACGGUGGAAUGUGUAGAUAUCGGGAAGAACACCAAUGGCGAAGGCAGGUCUCUGGGCCGUCACUGACGCUGAGGAGCGAAAGCGUGGGGAGCGAACAGGAUUAGAUACCCUGGUAGUCCACGCCGUAAACGGUGGAUGCUGGAUGUGGGGACCAUUCCACGGUCUCCGUGUCGGAGCCAACGCGUUAAGCAUCCCGCCUGGGGAGUACGGCCGCAAGGCUAAAACUCAAAGAAAUUGACGGGGGCCCGCACAAGCGGCGGAGCAUGCGGAUUAAUUCGAUGCAACGCGAAGAACCUUACCUGGGCUUGACAUGUUCCCGACAGCCGUAGAGAUACGGUCUCCCUUCGGGGCGGGUUCACAGGUGGUGCAUGGUCGUCGUCAGCUCGUGUCGUGAGAUGUUGGGUUAAGUCCCGCAACGAGCGCAACCCUCGCCCUGUGUUGCCAGCACGUCGUGGUGGGAACUCACGGGGGACCGCCGGGGUCAACUCGGAGGAAGGUGGGGAUGACGUCAGAUCAUCAUGCCCCUUACGUCCAGGGCUUCACGCAUGCUACAAUGGCCGGUACAACGGGAUGCGACACUGUGAGGUGGAGCGGAUCCCUUAAAACCGGUCUCAGUUCGGAUUGGAGUCUGCAACCCGACUCCAUGAAGGCGGAGUCGCUAGUAAUCGCGGAUCAGCAACGCCGCGGUGAAUGCGUUCCCGGGCCUUGUACACACCGCCCGUCAAGUCAUGAAAGUGGGUAGCACCCGAAGCCGGUGGCCCAACCUUUUGGGGGGAGCCGUCUAAGGUGAGACUCGUGAUUGGGACUAAGUCGUAACAAGGUAGCCGUACCGGAAGGUGCGGCUG
rnacentral:rRNA from 1 species